AAUAAUCGUUUUCAAGCCUGUUCACAGGAAGGGUGGAGAAGAUGGGGAUCAUCAUUUGCCAGGAGUGCAAUGCGACCAUCGAUUAUGUUGAAGAUGAAAAAGUGACAAAAUUGUAUUCCUGUUGCUGCGAAUGCUAUGGAAAAACAGAUGAAGACUGACUAAAAUAUGGAGCAU
rnacentral:sRNA from 1 species